UGGGCAACCUGCCCCAGACACAGGGAUAACCCCGGGAAACCGGGGCUAAUACCGGAUACUCCGGUCGAACCGCAUGGCUCGAUCGGGAAAGCUCCGACGGUCUGGGAUGGGCCCGCGGCCUAUCAGCUCGUUGGUGGGGUAACGGCCUACCAAGGCGACGACGGGUAGCUGGUCUGAGAGGACGACCAGCCACACUGGAACUGAGACACGGUCCAGACUCCUACGGGAG
rnacentral:rRNA from 1 species